rnacentral:rRNA from 1 species
UACGUAGGGUGCAAGCGUUGUCCGGAAUUAUUGGGCGUAAAGAGCUCGUAGGCGGUCUGUCGCGUCUGCUGUGAAAUCUCAGGGCUUAACCCUGAGCUUGCAGUGGGUACGGGCAGACUAGAGUGCGGUAGGGGAGACUGGAAUUCCUGGUGUAGCGGUGAAAUGCGCAGAUAUCAGGAGGAACACCGGUGGCGAAGGCGGGUCUCUGGGCCGAUACUGACGCUGGAGGAGCGAAAGCCGUGGGGAGCGAACAGG